rnacentral:tRNA from 1 species
GGCCCAGUGGUGUAGUGGUUAUCACGUCCGCUUUAUAUGCCGAUGGUCCUCGGUUCGAACCCGGGCUAGACCG